rnacentral:rRNA from 1 species
UACGUAGGCAGCGAGCGUUGUUCGGAAUUACUGGGCGUAAAGAGUGUGUAGGCGGUGCUCUAAGUUUGGAGUGACAGUUGGUGGCUUAACUGCCAAAGUGCUUCGAAAACUGACAGACUUGAGGGCUUCAGAGGGACACGGAAUUCCGGGUGGAGUGGUGAAAUGCGUAGAGAUCCGGAGGAACACCAAAGGCGAAGGCAGUGUCCUGGGGAGUACCUGACGCUCAGGUGCGAAAGCCAGGGGAGCGAACGGG